rnacentral:tRNA from 1 species
GGGGGCGUAGGCUAACUGGCAACGCCAUCUGACUUAGGCUCAGAAUACUGAAGGUUCGAAUCCUUCCGCCCCCACCA